UCCAGGCCCUACGGGGUGCAGCAGGCGCGAAACCUUUACAAUGCACGAAAGUGUGAUAAGGGAAUCCCCAGUGCUCACGUACUGCGUGGGCUUUUGCCAAGUGUAAAAAGCUUGGCGAAUAAGUGGUGGGUAAGACUGGUGCCAGCCGCCGCGGUAACACCAGCGCCACGAGUGGUAACCGCGAUUAUUGGGCCUAAAGCGUCCGUAGCCGGUCCUGCAAAUCUUUUGUGAAAUUGUGCGGCUUAAUCGUACAACGUGCAAGAGACACUACAGGACUCGAGACCGGGAGGAGUCAGAAGUAUUCCAGGGGGAGCGGUAAAAUGUUAUAAUCCCUGGAGGACUACCUAUGGCGAAGGCAUCUGACCAGAACGGAUCUGACGGUGAGGGACGAAAGCCAGGGGAGCGAACCGGAUUAGAUACCCGAGUAGUCCUGGCCGUAAACGCUGUGAGCUAGGUGUUGCGUCAGCGACCUGCUGGCGCAGUGUCGAAACGAAGGUGUUAAGCUCACCGCCUGGGAAGUACGGUCGCAAGACUGAAACUUUAAGGAAUUGGCGGGGGAGCACCACAAGGGGUGCGGCGUGCGGUUUAAUCUAACUCAACGCAGAGAACCUCACUAGGGGCGACGGCAGGAUGAAGGUCAGCUUGAAGAGCUUACCUGACAAGCCGAGAGGUGGUGCAUGGCCGCCGUCAGCUCGUGCUGUGAAGUGUCCUCUUAAGUGAGGCAACGAGCGAGACCUGUAUCUGCAAUUGCUAACAGCCACAUGUGGGACUGAGCACUUUGCAGAGACUGCUCCGGAAACGGAGAGGAAGGUGCAGGCUACGGUAGGUCUGUAUGCCCCGAAUCCCCUAGGCUACACGCGCGCAACAAUGGUCGGGACAAUGGGAUGCGACUCCGAAAGGAGAAGCUAAACCUCUAAACCCGAUCCAAGUCUAGAUCGAGGUUUGCAACUCAGCCUCGUGACAACGGAAUCCCUAGUAAUCAGAAGUCAUCAUCUUCUGGGGAAUAUGUCCCUGCUCCUUGCACUCACCGCCCGUC
rnacentral:rRNA from 1 species